AUGUGGGUCAAGUUGACGACUUUGCCUGAAUGUCAGAGAGGUGGUGCAUGGCCGUCAUCAGUUCGUACCGUAAGGCGUUCUGUUAAGUCAGAUAACGAACGAGACCCUCGCCCCUAGUUACUACCCCAUCCGCUAGGAUGGGCGCACACUAGGGGGACCGCUGGCGCUAAGCCAGAGGAAGGCGAGGUCUACGGUAGGUCAGUAUGCCCCGAAUCCCCUGGGCUACACGCGCGCUACAAAGGCCGGGACAAUGGGCUCCGACCUCGAGAGAGGAAGGUAAUCCCGAAACCCGGUCGUAGUUCGGAUUGAGGGCUGUAAUUCGCCCUCACGAACGCUGGAUUCGGUAGUAAUCGCGUCUCAACAUGGCGCGGUGAAUAUGCCCCUGCUCCUUGCACACACCGCCCGUCAAACCAUCCGAGUUGAUCCUAGAUGAGGACAUCCCACACGGGAUGUUCGAAUCUGGGUUCGGCAAGGAGGGUUAAGUCGUAACAAGGUAUCUGUA
rnacentral:rRNA from 1 species